rnacentral:lncRNA from 1 species
GCGCUACUUACCUUAAGCAAAUGGGUUGACACGGAAGUUUUUGUACUUCUCGGAGCCUAGCUAGAUGGGCGGGCAUGCUGUAGCAAAUUCGAUGUCGUUCUGGACUCAGUUAAAUACAUUCUUCUUAUCUAGGUAGUCUAUUUACGUUUGUUGUCAGGAUUGAUUGAACAGAAGACUGAAAGAGGAACCAUAUUUAGUGACGCCUCUCCGCAGUUGACUCGACGUAGGAGACCCGCAAUUCUUAAUUUACAAAUCAGUGUGAUUUCUACAGGAAAACUAGUACUGGAUACACCAAAGUAAACAUUUCCCCUCGAACAGAAAUUUAAGGCCAUGUACACACUGGAGGAGUGGUUUAUUAUAGGGUUAUCUAUAUUUGUGAUAGUUCUCAGGUUAGCCUAUUUCUUGUACCAUCGCUGCCUCUCCAAGCUAAGAGCCCUGCCUGUCGCGCACCAGUCUGAUGAGUGUGCCGGUGUUCGUCUCCUCUCCUGGCGUCCCUUAGAGGAUUGGGACGCCCCAGAGUCACAUGGGCCUCACUUAGCUGAGCCAGAGGACCAGGAUUUCGCUCCACCAUCAUAUAGUUCACUCCAGCUUGAUCUGCCCCCUCCCUACCCAAAGGUAAGCUUUAUUGUCUGCUUUUUUUUUUUGGUGGGGGGGAGGUGUCUUAUCUGUAACAAUGUGCAAUUAGCCGACAUGCUGUUGUCCUGGUACAGCUCCAGGUUAUGUUGUAUGAUAACAGAUGUACGUAAGUGUCUGUUGAUAUACAAUCAGUGCUUUGUAUUGUUUCAUGGUCAGUGUCUCUAUGUGGGCCUUAACCUUUGUCAGGUUUUUAAUGGCACACACAACACACUGGAACACACACGUGCAUAUAUGGAGGCGACACAGGACACACACACACACACGCAGGUAGGCCUGAGGUCGCGGUGAAUUUAUUUUCUGCUUUUUCCCAUCCUGGACCGUCCUUCCUCAAGGACCCCCCAGGAGCAGUGGGCAGCUUUGCAGCGCCCGGGGACCAAGUGAAGUGAACUGUCCAUCUUUGGUCAGGGAUGGACAUGAGUUCUGUUAUUUUGCAUGUUUUUACUGUUGGGGUUCUUAGUGGAGGAAACCCCUUGUGAACACGGGGAGAACAUGCAAACUCCACACAGAAAGGCCCGGGAGAUAGCCCACCUGAGCACUGUGUACUCUGGGGAGGACCUGCCCCCCAGAGCCAACAGCGCCCCAUGCGGGAAUCAAACCCAUGACCUUCUUGCUGUGAGGCAGCAGUGCAAGCAACUGAGCCACCGUGCCACUCUGUCUGGACCAGCAUACACAUCAGCAUACACAUCAGGUGUUUUAGAAUCUCUGGUCUUAAAGCAUACACAUCAGGUGUUUUAGGAUCUCUGGUCUUAAAGCAUACACAUCAGGUGUUUUAGGAUCUCUGGUCUUAAAGCAUACACAUCAGGUGUUUUAGGAUCUCUGGUCUUAAAGCAUACACAUCAGGUGUUUUAGGAUCUCUGGUCUUAAAGCAUACACAUCAGGUGUUUUAGGAGCUCUGGUCUUAAAGCAUACACAUCAGGUGUUUUAGGGGCUCUGGUCUUCAUGCAGCCCUGCUUGUCAAUCUCAUGUGUGGUGUUUAAAAGCUGACUCAUAAUAAUAUAUAAUAUAAUCCUAAAAUACGGAUUCAACAUUAUCAAAUUAACUGAAUAAUUUAAAGAAUGAUUGAAUAACUGACUGACUGACUGACUGGCUGAAUGAAUGGAUGGAUGGAUGAAUGAAUGAAUGAAUGAAUGAAUGAAUGAAUAGAUGGAUGGAUGGAUGGAUAGAUGGAUGGAUGGAUGGAUGAAUGAAUGAAUUAAUGGAUGAAUGGAAGGAUGAAUUGUAGAAAGGAGGGAACAUUUCAUGUUUGUGAAAAGAAAGAUGUCCGGUAUAUGCUUAUGAUGGCUUGUGU